GACGAACGCUGGCGGCGUGCUUAACACAUGCAAGUCGAACGGAAAGGCACUUCGGGGUACUCGAGUGGCGAACGGGGGAGUAACACGUGGGUGAUCUGCCCUGCACUUUGGGAUAAGCCUGGGAAACUGGGUCUAAUACCGAAUAGGACCACGCGCUGCAUGGUGUGUGGUGGAAAGCUUUUGCGGUGUGGGAUGGGCCCGCGGCCUAUCAGCUUGUUGGUGGGGUAAUGGCCUACCAAGGCGACGACGGGUAGCCGGCCUGAGAGGGUGACCGGCCACACUGGGACUGAGAGACGGCCCAGACUCCUACGGGAGGCAGCAGUGGGGAAUAUUGCACAAUGGGCGCAAGCCUGAUGCAGCGACGCUGCGUGAGGGAUGACGGCCUUCGGGUUGUAAACCUCUUUCAAUAGGGACGAAGCGCAAGUGACGGUACCUAUAGAAGAAGCACCGGCCAACUACGUG
rnacentral:rRNA from 1 species